GAAAUGCGAUAUGUAAUGUGAAUUGCAGAAUUCAGUGAAUCAUCGAAUCUUUGAACGCACCUUGCGCUCCUUGGUAUUCCUUGGAGCAUGCCUGUUUGAGUAUCAUGAAAUCUUCAAAGUAAAUCUUUGUUAACUCAAUUGGUUUCUACUUUGGUAUUGGAGGUCUUUGCAGCUUCACACCUGCUCCUCUUUGUUCAUUAGCUGGAUCUCAGUGUUAUGCUUGGUUCCACUCGGCGUGAUAAGUUAUCUAUCGCUGAGGACACUGUAAAAGGUGGCCAAGGUAAAUGCAGAUGAACCGCUUCUAAUAGUCCAUUGACUUGGACAAUACUUUUAUGAUCUGAUCUCAAAUCAGGUAGGACUACCCGCUGAACUUAAGC
rnacentral:misc_RNA from 1 species